UGCGCAGAUCAAAAAGCAUAUCAGUGUAACUUCAGACGCACCAUUCCGGUCGGUUCUAGCAGUCAGGAGCAAAGGGAAUAAAGCAGACGAGCAAACGAUGCCGGCAGCAGAUCUGAAUAUAGGGAAGCUCCACCUUGUGCUGGAGAUGUACAAAAUGGCCAGCAAUCCCGAGAACGACAGCAUGCAUUGGAGUGCGGACGGCAGUCUGCUAAUCGUGAACCUGCCGGCACUGGCCCUCCAUCUGGUACCGAUGGUUGACGAAGGGAAUCCGCUCAUCUGGUUCCUGGGGCUGAUGACCGGGGCCGGCUUCAUGCAGUGCCCGCUGGAGACGGUCGACGAGGCGGAGUACAACACGCCGCCGGAAAUGACGCUCAUCUUCUGGCAUCCUCAGUUCCACCGCAAUAAUCCCUGGUUUAACUACACCUGGAUCAGCGUGCACGAUGAGACCCCGCAGCGUGGUGAGUGGGUUGGGAGUGGGCGCAGUGUGUGAGUUUGUAGAACUGAUGUGUGUGUGUGUAUGUGUGUGUGUGUUUUCUUUUCAAUCAUUUUCCUCACCAAUGAUACCAGAGGAGGAGUAGCCUCACCAAGGAUGCCGGACAAUGUGGAGUAGCCGGGGCGCCGGAUCCUGCAAGACGUAAGAGCAAUCGAACGGUCUGAUUCGAACGAACAACAGAGAGAUGGAGACCGAAGACGAAAGGAUUUAGCGACCGGCGCAGAUGUUAAGAAAUUCGGCACUCGAGACACUCCAGCAACAGUUACACCGGCUUUCCGAUGGGCGUACUGUAGUUUGGUGUAAGUCUACAGUUAUUAGACCAUAGUUUAUUGAUUGAAAACCCCAACUUUGAAGACGACAGAAAAAACACAGAGAGAGAGAGAGAGAGAGAGAGAGAGAGAAAGAGAGAGAGGGCCAGAAAAGAAGUAGACAUAGAUUAGGCGAGAGCAAACGCUAUCGGAAGUAAACACAUUCUGGGUGAUGGAACGGAUGGAAGGAUUCACGUUUCGCUAGCGAUCACAUGGGGGAUGCGCCAGGCCGGAUAUGAAGGGCACGCGAAUAGCGAAAAAAAGGGGGGGAACACCAUCAACUUAUCUGUAAGCUCUGUCAGCAACUCUACUACCAAUAAAACGGCUACCGGCUGAAGAAUAGCGCGCGAUGUAUGUAUUCUUCCAGCCACUUUCUCCAUCCUUUCGGCUUGAAAUGCUUCGAGUGAUAUCGGUCAUACAUCUAGCUCCCUAGAUGGAGAUGCUGCGCAUUGCAGCGAAAUCUAAGAAUCGUUUUUUUUUCCAACGAACGAGGCGUGUGCUCGGUACGGUUGAUUCUAAGUAAUGUUCGGCAACAAGCAGUUAAGUUUUUAUCGAAUAUAAGGAAAUGUCAGUGUGAAAUUUCAAGAAGCCGUAUCCGUUUUGUUUUGUUUUUUAUUUUUUAUUUUGCCUCGCGCAACAACGCUCCCGCGAGAUCGACCAUUCCAAACAUUUUUGGAGCAUAUGCUGAGGAACAAUGUUACUAUCGAAUUUGCAAAACAAGCAGCGGGUAGAAAAUUUGCCUGAACGUCAAUAGUGUCGCGUUUCGCAACAUCCCAUCGCAGCAUCCAUUGUACUGGCGCGAUUCCGCGACCACGUUGCCCUAGUAACCGAGAGCGAGACAGCCGCCGCAGGUAAAAUAAAGCAAACUCAGUCGGCGGCGCGUGCGUUCCAGUCAGUUUGCAGAUUUCUGCGUGGUCAGAUCAAAACACCAUAUCACACCGUGUCAGACGCACCAUUCCGCUUAUGGUUCUAGCAUUCCGGAAAUAAAGCAGACGCUGAAAGCGAUGGCUGCCUGUGAAAUAAACGUCGCAAGGCUCCACUUUUUGCUGGAAGUGUUCGAAAUAGCCAACAAUCCCGAGAACGAUGGUUUGAAGUGGAGUGUGGACGGAAGAUGGCUAAUCGCGAACCUGCCGGCACUGGCCCUGUAUUUGCAGUCGACCAUCGACAACCCCGAACCGCUCGUCUGGUUUCUGCAGCACCUGACCGGGGCCGGCUUCGUGCUGUGCCCGCAGCAUUUGGUCGACGAGGCGGAGUACAACGCACCGGCGGACGAUACGAUCAUUUUCUGGCAUCCGCGCUUCCACCGCAAUCAUUCCUGGUUCAACUACCAAUGGAACAGCGAGCACACCCCGCAGCAAGACAACGAGGAGUAGCCUAACCAAUGGAACUGGACAACGUGGAGUACCCGGUACGGCAGGGCGCCGAUCCUGCUAGACGUAAGACCAAUCGAAGGAAGAACAGAAAGACGCAGGAUGAAGACGAAAGGAUUCGUGACCGGCACACCGUGCGCGCCGCCGUU